rnacentral:rRNA from 1 species
UACGUAGGGGGCAAGCGUUGUCCGGAUUUAUUGGGCGUAAAGAGCGUGUAGGCGGCCAUGUAGGUCCGUUGUGAAAACUCGAGGCUCAACCUCGAGACGCCGAUGGAAACCAUGUGGCUAGAGUCCGGAAGAGGAGAGUGGAAUUCCUGGUGUAGCGGUGAAAUGCGUAGAUAUCUGGAGGAACACCGGUGGCGAAGGCGGCAUCCUGGACCGAAAUUGACGCUGAGGCGCGAAAGCCAGGGGAGCAAACGGG